rnacentral:rRNA from 1 species
AACGUAGGAACCGAGCGUUAUCCGAAUUUACUGGGCGUAAAGCGCGUGUAGGCGGUUCGGUAAGUUGGAUGUGAAAUCUCCUGGCUCAACUGGGAGAGGUCGUUCAAUACUGUCGAACUUGAGGGUGGUAGAGGGAGGUGGAAUUCCCGGUGUAGUGGUGAAAUGCGUAGAUAUCGGGAGGAACACCAGUGGCGAAAGCGGCCUCCUGGACCAUUCCUGACGCUCAGACGCGAAAGCUAGGGGAGCAAAC